rnacentral:rRNA from 1 species
UACGUAGGUGGCAAGCGUUGUUCGGAAUUAUUGGGCGUAAAGGGCGCGUAGGCGGUUUGUUAAGUCAGCUGUGAAAGCCCGGGGCUCAACCCCGGAGAGUCGACUGAUACUGGCAGACUAGAGUACGGAAGAGGUAGCUGGGAUUCCCGGUGUAGCGGUGAAAUGCGUAGAUAUCGGGAGGAACACCAGUGGCGAAGGCGACUACCUGGCCUGUUCUUGACGCUGAGGCGCGAAAGCUAGGGGAGCAAACGGG